GAGGGUAUAGCUCACUGAGAGAGCACAUGUCUAGCAUGCACGAGGUCCUGGGUUCAAUCCCUAGUACCUUCA
rnacentral:tRNA from 1 species